AAUAGAUAAUGUAAAUCAAAGAUUUGUAAAGGAAACUGUGUAAAGAAAGAGGGGAAAAAACCCUUCUCAAAAUGUCUGUUGCAAGUUUAUAAAUCAAAUGCUGUACUCUGAACAAAAUCAGAAAAGCUAGGAGAAAUUUUCUAUUUAAGAAAGAUGUAACUUGUAACAGAUUAGUUUGUCAAUAAAACAAUCACAACAAAUUCAUACAUGUUCCAUCAGCAAACUGUUCAAGCAAUAUGAUUAUACUGCAAGGAUAUAUAAGACUUGACCAUGUUACAGGAGAAGUUCUGCUUCAAAAUAAGAAGUACAAAGCCAGUCAGAGAAGAGAUUAUGGAAGAGCAAAGAGAAGAUGAGGCUAAAGUUUUUCCUCAUUUAUUCUGAAAACUCUAACUCCAAGCAAAAUGUUCUCAAGUUUGGAGGGAUAUGGAAAUAACAGAACAAAAAUACACAGGAAAAUGUUAUAUCUAUUGAACCAAAGGUAAUUAAACAUCCAAAAAUGCAUCUGAAUUAUCAGAGAUAUCUUACAAAACCUUUAAUAAUCUGAUUUAGUGGAUCCGUAGAUUCAUGAACAUAGACAACCAAAAAGCCUUUUUGAAGGGUAUAUUUACUUUGUAAAGAUGUUGAUGAUUUUACUUACAGAAUACAUAUGUUUGUCCCUUACCUACCAGUUUAUGCUUCUCCAGCUUAGAACUUACAGAGUGAACACAUGCAGAGUUCUGGAACUUGAAAUAAUGUUUUCGGCUUACAAAUCCAAUGUAUUUCCAAACUCUUCAAGAAAAGAAAAACUAGAC
rnacentral:lncRNA from 1 species